UCUAGUUUGAUAGCCCCAAAACAGAAAUGGGAAUUUCAGACGCCUUGUCUUCCAGAAAAUAAGUUUAGCCCGCAGUGUCUUUAAUUUGAUAGAAGAUGGACGCUUUAUCGCAACUUUUUAUCUGGAGAUAUAAUUUCUAGUAUUUUCUAGGGACAUUUUUAUUUGCUACUGGAUAAUUAUUAUAGUGGUAUCGCUUUAUGACUGUUCUAUGAAUGAAAAUAGUUACAUGAUGAAAUGUUUAACCGUUUCCUUUGACUUUCUCAAAUUAAAGUUUUUGUGACAAACAGAGCCCAAAUAAAAUGACGAAAUUGUGUGUGACGAAAUUUACAAUGUCGUCAUUGAUCCAGACUGAAAGAAGGAAAAUGGAAUAUUUCAUGACGGCCAGAGACCAUCGAGUGGAUCGUUGGUUGGGCUUUAACAAUGCUGCUUGUGACCGAGACAACAACUUAUUUUCGUGUAGUUCGUGAAACUUGAAUGUAAUAUCGGUACAAAGAGCUGAGAACUAGGCCAACCACGUAAAUGCUCUUAAAUGAAGCGCAUUCCUGCAUUCAGACAGGUUUUUUUUCCAUACAGUAGUCACUCAAAGAACAACACUUCAUGGGCCACAUUUACUCCAUCUAUUUCACUAGUGAAUUUAUUACAAAUGUUCAGUUUUAGUUAAAUCAACAAGAUUAGAAUAUUUAAAACAUAUUUUUCUACGUAUCUUAUUUGGGAUUCGUUUCGAUAGAAAUGUUACAAAACUGAGGGAAAAGUAUGAAAAUUCUAAAUAUCCAAAAAUUAGUUAAACGCACAAAAUUAAAAUAUUUCGAACAUAUUUUGCCCUUUUCUUUUGAGUCCAUUUAUCAUAAAAAUCUGAGUUUAAAGAUAUUAGAGGAACAGUACGAAAUUCUAAAAAUUCCAAUUGUUGAUUAAACUCACAAAAUUAUUUAAAAAAUAUUUUACAUAUAAAUAUUUCUUGUACAUUUAGCAUGAAAAAUAUAAUUAUCGAAGGGUUUUAGAGGUAUCUUGAACAGGCAACGAAGAAAAUUCGAGGCUGGCAAGAGCUAAGAGACGACCCUUCUCGUUAUACAACUUUUAAUUACAAUCGGUUCGAUUUCCUUUUUACCGGAGUUUCCAUCUGGGGCUUCGUUAAACACAACCGUGGAGCUGACACUCGUAACGUCCACUUAUUUUUCUCUCCGCGGCCUUUUCACAGUACUGAAUAUCCCCCUGACAUCCUUAAUUAAUGACGGAAAUACGUUGUUAGUUCUUCGAGUGGUCGAGCUCCGCGACUGUCGUUUACGUAUCAGUUUUCUCCUCCCUUCGAGACUUAUCUCAGUCAUUGCGAGCCAUUCUCACGUUCAAACGAAGUUUAAGCUAUCUGCAGCCACUGUUUAAAUAUAUUCGUAAACUUCUCUACAUUUCAAGUCUGCCAUCUAAAUGUGGAUUUGAAUAGAAUAGCACAAAGAAGAUAAUUUCUUCCACUC
rnacentral:misc_RNA from 1 species